AAUAACGGCUGGAAAGCGUAGACAGAGACUACCGUAUGUGACCCAAGGGUGAAAGAUUUAUCGCCUGUGAGGAGGGGCGCCGCGUCCGAUUAGCUAGCUCUGGAGAGGUAAUGGCUCACCAAGGCUUUGAUCGGUAGCUGGUCUGAGAGGAUGAUCAGCCACACUGGGACUGAGACACGGCCCACACUCCUACGGGAGGCAGCAGUGGGGAAUAUUGGACAAUGGGGGCAACCCUGAUCCAGCAAUGCCGCGUGUGUGAUGAAGGCCCUAGGGUUGUAAAGCACUUUCGCCGAUGACGAUGAUGACGGUAGUCGGAUAAGAAGCCUCGGUUAACUCCGUGCCUGCAGCCGCGGUAAUGGGGGGGAGGCAAGCGCUGUUUGGAAUUACUGGGCGUAAAGGGCGCGUAGGCGGCUUCGUGAGUUGAGAGUGAAAGCCCCGGGCUCAACCUGGGAACUGCUCUCAAUACUGCGGAGCUAGAGAACGGGAGAGGGUAGUGGAAUUCCCAGUGUAGAGGUGAAAUUCGUAGAUAUUGGGAAGAACACCAGUGGCGAAGGCGGCUGCCUGGCCCGAUUCUGACGCUGAGGCGCGAAAGCGUGGGGAAGCAAACAGGAUUAGAUACCCUGGUAGUCCACGCCGUAAACGAUGAGUGCUAUACGUCGGGGGACGUGCCCUUCGGAGUCGCCGCUAACGCAUUAAGCACUCCCCCUGAGGAGUACGGCCGCAAGGUAAAACUCAAAGGGAAUUGACGGUGG
rnacentral:rRNA from 1 species